UCAGGAUGAACGCUAGCUACAGGCUUAACACAUGCAAGUCGAGGGGCAGCAUUCUGAAAGCUUGCUUCAGAGAUGGCGACCGGCGCACGGGUGAGUAACGCGUAUCCAACCUCCCAUAGUAGAGGAUAGCCCGGCGAAAGUCGGAUUAAUACUCUAUGUUAUUCAAUGCGGACAUCUAAUUUGAAUCAAAGAUUUAUCGCUAUGGGAUGGGGAUGCGUCUGAUUAGCUUGUUGGCGGGGUAACGGCCCACCAAGGCUACGAUCAGUAGGGGUUCUGAGAGGAAGGUCCCCCACAUUGGUACUGAGACACGGACCAAACUCCUACGGGAGGCAGCAGUGAGGAAUAUUGGUCAAUGGACGAGAGUCUGAACCAGCCAAGUAGCGUGCAAGGAUGACUGCCCUAUGGGUUGUAAACUGCUUUUAUGCGGGAAUAAAGUCAGGUACGCGUACCUGUUUGUAUGUACCGCAUGAAUAAGGACCGGCUAAUUCCGUGCCAGCCGCCGC
rnacentral:rRNA from 1 species